rnacentral:pre_miRNA from 7 species
AGCUUAGUGAAAGACCUCCAAAGGGAGACCCUCACUCGAGUCUCGGGAUAAUAGAGGACCCCCAAGAACUCACAAGGGACC